rnacentral:tRNA from 1 species
GUGUAUGAAACAAAAAUUUAUUUUGCAAAAAUAAAUACGGUAUUUAAUUUUACCCAUACAUU